UUCUCCUUCUUGUUUCCAAUGCCCAAAGGGGUUUGGGUGUCCAUCAUCUCCACUUUCAAGGAAGCUUGGGCGGCACCUCUUUGUGGCUGAUUUCUAGAGCUUGGUUGUAGCAUAACCAAGAGAAGGAGAGCAAGAAAAGAAGAAAAAAAAAAGAUCAAGGAGUUGAUCAUGAUCCAGAUUUCAUUCAGAUUCACAAGGUGAUCGUUCUUGGAGA
rnacentral:lncRNA from 1 species